rnacentral:snRNA from 1 species
UUGCUCACUUCAGCUGCACAUAUGCUAAAAUUGGAAGGAUACAGAGAAGAUUGUCAUGGCCCCUGCACAAGGAUGACACGCAUGAAGCAUUCCAUAUUUUU